UACGUAGGGUGCAAGCGUUGUCCGGAAUUAUUGGGCGUAAAGAGCUCGUAGGCGGUCUGUCACGUCGGACGUGAAAAUCCAGGGCUCAACCCUGGACCUGCGUUCGAUACGGGCAGACUAGAGUUCGGUAGGGGAGACUGGAAUUCCUGGUGUAGCGGUGAAAUGCGCAGAUAUCAGGAGGAACACCGGUGGCGAAGGCGGGUCUCUGGGCCGAAACUGACGCUGAGGCGCGAAAGCCAGGGGAGCAAACGGG
rnacentral:rRNA from 1 species